UCCCUCCACAGAGGUAAGGAAGCUAGGCUCUUUUAUGAAAGCGCAGUGACUCUGUUGUCCACUAGAGGUCGCUUUAUGCCUGAUUUCAGAGAGCCAGCAAGACUGCAGACUUAACUCAGCUGACCUCCGCCUAAAGAGUCUUUUACAAAGCCACCUUCUCCUAGGUUCCAUGGCCCAGAGAUUGUCUAUGGAUGCCUCCAGCUCCAAUUUAUUCCACUCAGAUUCUUGAACCAAAGUUGCCAACGGCAGCCGGAGUGCAGGCAACUUCUAGUCGCCCCUCCGUCAUGCAAAAAGUUCACGAAUCUACUGACAUAUACACUGAACAAUGCGGUGUGCUAGACUCUGACGCGAGUUUGUGAAUAACCCAAACUCUCGCUGCACCCCUAAUCCCCGCCGCAGCUCGCUCGCAGGCUCUACCCGGGAACGCAGGCAACCCUCUAAUUGCUACAUUGCGAGAUAAGCUGCUGACAGGGUUUCUGUCCCACAGUUGGUUCUCACUGGGUCUCAUUUCACUGUAGAUUAUUUUAUGGAACAUCGGGCUUUAGAGAAACAAAAUAAAAUCCAGAGGCGGGUUUGUCCACAGUUGGAAAAAUCAGUGCAGGGCAUGUGUUGUUCUGGAGAUAAACGGAUUUCCAGGGUCUCCUGGCAGGUCUGAGGGUUUGUAAUGGACACCGGAGAUGAGAAGCACCAGUCCCUCUCAGUGUAUUCCCUCUUCUCUUUUCUUCAAAUGGUUUGGGUGGUUUUCUUGGGAAAGGGAGGACAUUUUCGAGAUGUUGCGGUGCAGCCCAGCCUGCCUGGUGUCUUUCCUGUUUUUUUUUUCUUUUCAUUUUUAUUUAUUAUUAUUUUUUAAUUGCAGUGCUAGCGUUUUGAACCCACAUACGUGCAAGGCAAGCAUCCUACCACUGAGAUACAUUCCUAACCCCUGCUUCCCUCUGCCCCCCUUUUUUUUUUUUUUGCUCUUUCCCCUCAGAUUGUAUGUCAACCUAUGUAUCUCGGAGGCAAGCUCUCUCACCCAGAAGCCUGAGGUCAAGGAAGUCAGAGUAGAACUGGGAAGAAAAGAUAGAGAAACACAAAUUGCAAAAGGCAGUCGCGAUAUGUUUAGGACAGAUGUCUGGGGGGCUAAAAGGUCCUCCCUUCCUCCUUCCUUCCUUCCUUUCUUCCUUCCUUCUUCCCUCCCUUCCUUCCUUCCUUCUGGAGAAUUCCAAGAUGAACCCUCAACUCACCCUGUGGGCUUUCUCUGUAAGGGGUGCUCUCAAGGAGACAGAGGAGGGUAAAACUCUCUCGGUGCUUAGUGGUCAUUCUUUUGAGCUUGGACAAGGGGCUCUAAGGACCAGGUGCUCGACAUUCCUGAGAAGCACUUCUGAGUCAGAGCCCCAGAAACAGCUGAGGCAGCUUUGGGCUGCAGUCUUGGCUCUCUCUCCUCUCUUUCUAUCCAAAAGCAACUCUCUCCCUAGCUAUUUGGAUGUGACCAGAAACCCAAGCAAAGACCCGAGGUAGGAGCGUGGCUCAGCCGAAGUCUAUAAAACGGAUUUGGUCUCUGCAUCCCGUCUAGAGGUGCAGCUGUGUGGUAAAGGCUUGUCUGUAUCCAGGGACCUCUGUAGUAGGAAGUCCAAGGGGUUGGUGGAAACAGCCUAGUGCCCACAGGUCCUAACUCCCAAAGUAGCUAUUGUUGGGCUGCCUCUGGGAAGGGGGGUCAUAAUUAAGACUUGGCUUGAGUUGAGACAGCAUCAUUCCCUGGGAAACCUGCCAGCGCCUCCUCACUGCCUGGGCGUGGGGCCCGGGACAUGCCACAGCAAUGCCAGAGAGCUGACUCAGGGAGGAGGCAUGGAGGGGAACAGAAAAACCCUUCCUACCCAUCAGCCAAGAGCGGAGACAAGGCACGCUGGGAUAGCCCUGCAGUGCCAGACCAGACCACCAACAAGUUUCGUGUCGGGUCGGCUCUUAGGAAUAUAGUCUCACGAAGCUCCAUACUGCUUCGGGUCACCAACGGACAGCAAGUGGCUGGCCCCUGGUCUCUUAGUUCCCGUCUUCGUGCAAGGAUGCGCCGUUCUAGGUUGCUCCGGUGAUGGAUUCAGGCCUGUUCGGAUCACUUUUAGAAGGCUGUAAGCUUGGGCAAGACACUUACUCUAGUGAGACUAAGAUUCUUUGUUUUUCAGAUGGAUGCUUCACAGGGCUGCAGCAAGGAUCCAAUGAGAUAAUGUCUACAAGGGCACCCGGUGUAGUUAAAACACGCAUUUCCGGGGGCUGGAGAGAUGGCUCAGUGGUUAAGAGCACUGACUGGUCUUCCAGAGGUCCUGAGUUCAAUUCCCAGCAACCACAUGGUGGCUCACAACCAUCUGUAAUGAGAUCUGAUGCCCUCUAAUGACGUGUCUGAAGACAGCUACAGUGUACUCAUAUAUAAUAAAUAAAUCUUAAAAAAAACCAAAAACACAUUUCCAAUAGGGUAUCUUUAUGGACAUGGUUAAUCCUGACACAGGGAUUGUAACCUCUGAACCCUAAAAUCUUCCUCUUUGCUUUUUUUUUUUUUUUUUUUAAUCUCAGCAAGAUGCUCUGGGGCAAGUGUUGAAAUCCCGAUCCAGUCCCGGGUGCAGAAGCCUCGACCGAGGCAGCUUCUUGGUGCUGCUGUGCACCGAGGGCCGCCCUGAGCUGCUACUCCAGCCCCAGCUCUGCUAAACCGGUUCUUUCCCUUUUAGUCAGACGCCUGCAGUUCGGUUUGCCUGCAGCGAUGACAAAGGAACCGAAGAUAGCCCCAGCUCUACAGCAGCGCUGGAGACUGGGCUUGGGCAGAGUGCGUGGCCCGUCACCCACAGGCCUGUCUGGGCGUCCCAGCCGGGUGCAGCCCUGACCCCUUAGGGUCUUGUCUGCCUUUCCUUUCUGCAGUCCUCGGAUGACAAUGUCUCCUGUCAGCACUCUGGGUGGUGGUGAGCUGGAUGACUGCCUGGAAAGCUGUCUUGGCUAGAAGGUCCGUGCGAGGGAGACUAUGUUCCUUCUACCAGUGUGGCCCCCUUGCUCCCUUGGACCCCCUCUUUAUGCCAAGAGGCCAGAAGGGAAGCUUCCGGAAGGAUAAAGGACACUCUUCGUUCUUAUCAUUUUGUAAAGCACUUCCACUCUGGUUGGACUGUGACAGUUCCAGAAACUAAAGCAAUUCCCCAAACCUAGCAACAUUCCAGAGAUAACAGAGUGCAUAGUCACUGGAUUGGAGCCUUCCCUGAAGAAGCACAGCUGUUUCUGAGUCACUCCACGGAACUACGCUUUUGCCUCAGGCCUCAGACGGUGCUGCAUCUCGGCUUGAGUUCCUACCCCAGAACAAAGCCUGACCCAACCUCCUGCGUGACUUUGUUGCUGUUCACCCUCAGUUCUCACUCAAAACUUCAGCUCUACUCCCAACCUUGAAUUUGACCACCAUUGCUGGAACUCCCUCCACAGACCAGGCUGGCCCGGAACUCAGAGAUUUGCCUGCCUCUGUCUCUUGCAUAAUGGGAUUAAAAGUGUGCACACCA